ACUCCCCCCUCGUGCUC
rnacentral:tRNA from 1 species